UACGGAGGGUGCAAGCGUUGUUCGGAAUUAUUGGGCGUAAAGCGCGCGCAGGCGGUCUAUUUAGUCUGAUGUGAAAGCCCAGGGCUCAACCCUGGAGGUGCAUUGGAUACUGGUAGACUUGAGGCUAAGAGGGGCUCGUGGAAUUCCUGGUGUAGGGGUGAAAUCCGUAGAGAUCAGGAGGAACACCGGUGGCGAAGGCGACGAGCUGGAUUAGUACUGACGCUGAGGCGCGAAAGCGCGGGGAGCAAACAGG
rnacentral:misc_RNA from 1 species